AGAUUGAACGCUGGCGGCAUGCCUAACACAUGCAAGUCGAACGGGAGUAGCAAUACUCUAGUGGCGGACGGGUGAGGAAUACGUAGGAAUUUGCCCUUAAGUGGGGGAUAACCUGGGGAAACCCGGAUUAAUACCGCAUGACCUCGAAAGAGCAAAGUGGGGGAUCGCAAGACCUCACGCUUUUGGAGAAGCCGUACGUCGGAUUAGCUAGUGGUGAGGUAAUGGCUCACCAAGGCGACGAUCCGUAACUGGUCUGGAGAGGAUGAUCAGUCACACCGGAACUGAGACACGGUCCGGACUCCGACGGGAGCAGCGAGGUGGGAAUAGUGGACAAGUCGGG
rnacentral:rRNA from 1 species